rnacentral:lncRNA from 14 species
AUCCCAGACAGUGCAAUGGCACCAGGACCACCAACACUGCUUCAUCGAGUUCUGACUCAAGCGGUCUCUAAACUCUGGCUUAAUUUGAACACGGCUAAAUGAGUUUUCAGAGUAACCGGACAUCAAACAACUUUGUUGCUUUAAGUGCAACAGUGUUU